CUGAAUGUAGCUGUGCUCGGUGAGAUUCAAGUCAGUAGCCUGGAGGUGGGCAUUGGUGAUGUUGAUGGUACAACCAGUCCGAAGAUUACCACAAUUACACACCCCAACAAGCUGACAGAGGUGCUCCAAGCUGAUCACUUGCAGAAAGUAAGCCUGAAGUUCAGCGUGCGCGAUAAGUACAACAACCCGGUGUCAGUGCAGCAGGCCUUCGUGCGCGUCGCCCCCGCCGCCGCCGCGGCACCAGCAGACCUGGAGGCUAUCUACGUAGCUGAGCCCAGCGCUAAGACCUACAAGGUCGAGCUGAACGUGGGCGCGAUCGCAAAGCAUCUGAACCAUCAAUCGGGCGCGCACUCGCUGACGC